rnacentral:rRNA from 1 species
GAUGAACGCUGGCUGCGUGCCUAAUACAUGCAAGUCAAGCGAACGUACUAGAAUCUUGCUUCUCUUAUGUUAGCGGCUGACGGGUGAGUAACACGUGGAUAUCCUACCUAUAAGACUGGGAUAACUUCGGUAAACCGGAGCUAAUACCGGCUAAUAUUUUGAACCGCAUGGUUCAAAAGUGAAAGACGGUCUUGCUGUCACUUAUCGAUUGAUCCGCGCUGCAUUAGCUAGUUGGUAAGGUAACGGCUUACCAAGGCAACGAUGCAUAGCCGACCUGAGAGGGUGAUCGGCCACACUGGAACUGAGACACGGUCCAGACUCCUACGGGAGGCAGCAGUAGGGAAGCUUCCGCAAUGGGCGAAAGCCUGACGGAGCAACGCCGCGUGAGUGAUGAAGGUCUUCGGAUCGUAAAACUCUGUUAUUAGGGAAGAACAUAUGUGUAAGUAACUGUGCACAUCUUGACGGUACCUAAUCAGAAAGCCACGGCUAACUACGUG